UAUAUGUAUACAUGAUCUCAAGCAGAUCAAGUUUGUUAUAUUCCGAAUCCAUAUACGAAGAAACCAAAGAACAUUUGGCUCAAUGUUCUAAAAGUCAAUCCGAGGGGAAACAUUUCUGGAGAAUAUAAAAACAAUGAUUCAACUCUUUUGCAAACAGAAAAUGAUGAUGAUGUUUUGCUCACUACAAUUGAAGAUCUUGUACUUGAAACUCCGGUAGCCAACUUAAACCCAAUAAUCCUUGAUUACGAUGUCGGGGAUGCUGAACCAGAAGACGAAUUCCGAUGUAAUUUAUCGUCCUCGGACGAAGAUGAAGUAGAAGAUGAAGAUGUAUAACUGUGUGAAUAUAUGUAUAAUUAUUUGAAUAAAU
rnacentral:sRNA from 1 species